rnacentral:rRNA from 1 species
AUGAACGCUAGCUACAGGCUUAACACAUGCAAGUCGAGGGGCAGCAUGGUCUUAGCUUGCUAAGGCCGAUGGCGACCGGCGCACGGGUGAGUAACACGUAUCCAACCUGCCGUCUACUCUUGGACAGCCUUCUGAAAGGAAGAUUAAUACAAGAUGGCAUCAUGAGUCCGCAUGUUCACAUGAUUAAAGGUAUUCCGGUAGACGAUGGGGAUGCGUUCCAUUAGAUAGUAGGCGGGGUAACGGCCCACCUAGUCUUCGAUGGAUAGGGGUUCUGAGAGGAAGGUCCCCCACAUUGGAACUGAGACACGGUCCAAACUCCUACGGGAGGCAGCAGUGAGGAAUAUUGGUCAAUGGGCGAGAGCCUGAACCAGCCAAGUAGCGUGAAGGAUGACUGCCCUAUGGGUUGUAAACUUCUUUUAUAAAGGAAUAAAGUCGGGUAUGGAUACCCGUUUGCAUGUACUUUAUGAAUAAGGAUCGGCUAACUCCGUGCCAGCAGCCGCGGUAAUACGGAGGAUCCGAGCGUUAUCCGGAUUUAUUGGGUUUAAAGGGAGUGUAGAUGGAUAUUUAAGUCAGUUGUGAAAGUUUGCGGCUCAACCGUAAAAUUGCAGUUGAUACUGGAUAUCUUGAGUGCAGUUGAGGCAGGCGGAAUUCGUGGUGUAGCGGUGAAAUGCUUAGAUAUCACGAAGAACUCCGAUUGC